GAAGAGUUCAAGCAGACAUCAAGGUGACAGCUGUCAGUCACGAGGAGAAAAUUGGUUUGAAAUUUUCACAUCAAAUUUGUCAGAGAAGAACAACAAAGCAUUAACGGAUGAUGCCAACGAUGACACUUUGCCUGCUGUUGUGGGUUCUUGGUACUGGAGUUAUUUUAUCAGAGGGAGAUGAUCCACCUUUUGAUGAUGAAGAUUAUAGUUAUUUUUUUACUUCUGGCGAAAUAAAUUCAACCUUAAUAAUAAAUGACACUGAACUGCUGCCCGCUCUACUGUCAGAUUUUGGCAGUGGUGAAAUUCCAGAAAAAGACACGACAGGCUCCUCAGCUCCCAGAAACCAUGGACUGAAAACAACUGGUGCU